rnacentral:rRNA from 1 species
GAUGAACGCUUGCGGCAGGCUUAAUACAUGCAAGUCGAACGGUAACAGGGUCUUCGGACUGCUGACGAGUGGCGGAUGGGUGAGUAACGCGUAUGCAACCUUCCUCACACCGAGAAAAAGUCGACUGAAAAGUUGAAUAAAGUCUCGUGAUGUACACGUCCCGCAUGAGAUGUGUAUGAUAGAAGCAAUUUGGUGUGAGAUGGGCAUGCGUAUCAUUAGCUAGUUGGUAGGGUAACGGCUUACCAAGGCGACGAUGAUUAGGGGGCCUGAGAGGGUGGUCCCCCACACUGGGACUGAGACACGGCCCAGACUCCUACGGGAGGCAGCAGUAGGGAAUAUUGGUCAAUGGGCGGAAGCCUGAACCAGCCAUGCCGCGUGAUGGAUGACGGCCUUAGGGUUGUAAACAUCUUUUCUGCUAGAGGAAUAUAGUUCACGUGUGGACAGACGACUGUAUAGCAGGAAUAAGGAUCGGCUAACUCCGUGCCAGCAGCCGCGGUAAUACGGAGGAUUCGAGCGUUAUCCGGAUUUACUGGGUUUAAAGGGUGCGCAGGCGGGCUCUUAAGUCAGCGGUGAAAUGUCUGGGCUUACCCUAGGAAUUUGCCGUUGAUACUGGGAGUCUUGGAUAAGCAUAAGGACGGCGGAUUGCGUAGUGUAGCGGUGAAAUGCUUAGAUAUUACGUAUAAGACCAAUUGCGAAGGCAGCUGUCUGUGUCUUUAUCGACGCUCAUGCACUAAGCGUUGGGGAGCAAACAGGAGUUAUACCCUGGUAGUCCAAUGUCGAUUUCCUAAUUGGAUAUGUAGGUUAGCGAACCCGCUGACCCCGAGGGGGAACCAAGGUUGCCAACAUUUAUUCCCUUUAUGUAUGUUUAUUAUAUGGUUACUGUGUAUGUGUAGUGAAUUGUGUUGUGUGCUAUGUGUGUUGUAUUGUGGUUUGUUGUGUGUGUCUUGACUGCUGUAUGUGCCGUGUGUGAUUUUUGUAUUUGUGUUGAUAAUUUGAUGUGUGCUGUUGUCCUUUGCUCUAUACUGCUGAUAUGUUGAUUGUGUAUGUUAGCUUGAUAGUUGUACUUGCAUGUGUGUG